rnacentral:lncRNA from 1 species
GUUGGAGGGCCUUUAAGACACAAUUCACCCAUGAUUAUAUAAAACAUGGAGAAGAUAAAGAAAAGCCUCCAUAUAAUGUGUAUUUAUUUAUUGAUCAAGAUGUUUGGGUGAAAUUUGUAGGGUCUCGCACCACUCCUUCCUUCUUGGAAAAGAGCCAAAAAGGAAAGGAAAAUCGAGAUAGAAAUAUCUAUCAACCUAGAUUGUCUCGUGGAGGAUAUCAGAAACU